rnacentral:lncRNA from 1 species
CCUCUGUACGCUUAUGUAGAUAUUCCAUAAAAAAAUCAGCCAUUUCCAGCCACAAUAGUCAUUUACAACAUUAACAAUGUCUACACUGUAUUUCGGAUCAAUUUGAUGUUAUUUGAAUGGAUAAAAAAUGUGAUAUUCUUUCAAAAACAAGGACAAUACCCCAAACUUUUGAAUGGUAGUGUAUAUCUACUCACAGUUCAAAUAAUACAAACACAAAGAAUGUUGUGUCUCCGUGCAAUUCAAUUUAUUAUCACAUCAAAAUUAACACAGACCACGUGACAUACCGUGGAAUUACGUAGCAUAGCAUUUUAUAGCAUACCAAAACACAUACCAUACACUUGCAGAUCUCAAGCCUCCAUAGUUAAAGUGCAUGGUUAGGUGUUGGUGUGCUUUGACUGUGCUUUGUGUGAUCAGGCUGGGCAGGAUGGCAUGAUGGUGUUGGGUAACCUCUGUCCUGUCACGUCUCUCUACUGUUUGCUUCCCUCUCUCCCUCCAUCUGUCGGUCUCUCUCUCUCCCUCGUCUCUGUGUAUCCCCUCUUUCUCUCAUCUCUGUGUACCCCUCUCUCUCGUCUCUGUGUACCCCUCUCUAUCUUUAUCCAGUUGGCAGAUGAAGUGACUUUAGGGUGGGUAAGGGUGCCCAAGGACAGGGGCACGCCUGAGAGGGCAUAGGUGGGGUAAAGCUCAGAGACGAUACACACAAACACACUGACAGACACUGACAGACACACACACACACCCUGAAAGACACACCUGCCACGUGUAUCCUUGUUAGGUGGAGCAGAGCAGCCAGGAUUAUGUGUGUAUGUCUUUAAGUCGAGCCAGUGAGCCUCGGCUCGGCGCCCCACCGCAAUCUCUUAAUGUACUCGCAGGCCGAUUCCCUCAGAGCGGAUCAGGUAGGAGACCUUGGCCUGUGACCUGACACACACAAACACACAGCGGGAGACACACACACACAAACACACAGCGGGAGACACACACACACCCAAACACACAGCGGGACACACACACACACACACAGAGGAAUACACACACACAAACAGAGACGCAGACACACAAACACACUACUCUCUAGGUCACAGCCUUGCCCUGACUGCAGUGCUUCUGUUACAUGCUCACAGGGGACUGGCAGUGCUUACCAGAGAGGAUCAACUUGUGAGAGUGGGAUAAUCCUGUCUGAGGGAUGUGUGUGUGUGUGUGUGUGUGUGUGUGUGUUGAAGAACUGCUGUGGGUCAGCCAGUGAGCACCCACGCAACAUGUACAAACACACACACACACACACACACACACACACACACACACACACACACACACACACACACACACACACACACACACACACACUACGCUACAUCUUCUUCAUCUUUGGCCAUCAGGGUGGGCAGAGGUGGAAUCUGUAGAGAGAGAGAGAGAGAGAGAAGAGAGGGUGGAGAGAGAGAAGAGAGGGUGGAGAGAGAGAAGAGAGGGUGGAGAGAGAAAAGAGAGGGUGGAGAGAGAGAAGAGAGGGUGGAGAGAGAAAAGAGAGGGUGGAGAGAGAGAAGAGAGGGUGGAGAGAGAGAAGAGAGGGUGGAGAGAGAGAAGAGAGGGUGGAGAGAGAGAAGAGAGGGUGGAGAGAGAAAAGAGAGGGUGGAGAGAGAGAGGGAAACAUUAGAAUGUAUGUCUGACAGACUGGUGCUACAAUACAAUAUUCAGUACGACAUACAGUACCAGUUAAAAGUUUGGACACAACUUCUCAUUCCAUGGUUUUUCUUUAUUUUUACUAUUUUCUACAUUGUAGAAUAAUAGUGAAGACAUCAAAACUACUUUGGCAGGGCUUUGGUCAAAAGUAGUGCACUGCAUCGGGAAUAGGGUGCCAUUUCGGUCAACACAGAGUUUGCGUUUAUUUUAGUCACUACAGUCUUCAACUGUUUCUACAACAAAAUAUCAAAAUUGAAAGAUAACAUGGUGUCUUAUUUACAAGAGAGUGUCACCAAGGACAGAAAUGUUCACUUUAAUUCAUGUCAGAUUAAUCCCAAAGAACUGCCAGGGGGGCUGUGAAACCUUCAAGAGAUACUCAUUACAACACAUUAUCAUCAAUGAUAAAGAAUGUAGCUUAGCUGUGCAGCGUUUUUAGCCUUAGCCUAAACAAAAAGUGUUGAAAGUUAGUUACAAUGCUAAAACAACUCUUAUACUUGAGUGUCCCAUCUAUGUUGAUUUUUUUUAUUGUUAUAAAUAACUUAUGUCCUUUAGUAAAACCCAUAAAACAACCAACAACAAAAAAACACCCAGAGAACAACUAACUGUAAAUAUAUACCCAGUAAAAUAGUAAGACCUACUUAGUUCAGUCAGUGUAUGGUUAGCCUUUUCACUGAACAUAUGAAUAAAGUCUAGCCUCACUAUGUGCUGUAGUAUAUGAAAACUAUUCUUGUUAUGCCAUUUUAAAUGCCUCUUCCUAGCUGCAUAUUUUCCGGGCAGCGCAGACAGAUUUGUUACAGUUCAAGGACAGGGUUUUGGGCAAAGCUAUCCCUUAGCAGUCCAGCGAACCCAACGACUCUGUAAACCCAACGAACCCACCCCUUGUUGCCCUGCUCUGUGCUCCAGUGGAAAGCUCCUGUGUGCGGGCUUCACUUAAUAGAUCCACACACACACACACACACACACACACACACACACUGCCCACGCACAGCCCACGCACAGCCCACGCACACACGCGACCCAGCCUAGGAAAACUAGCCAGCUCUGCCAAAGCACUGAGUCCCUUUAAAUACAGCCGCCUCAGACCCAUCCUCGUCCUGAGGCUAGCCAAACACAGGAGCUCUGAGCAGAGAAAUGUAGUGGAUCUAAUGGGUCCAUUUUGAAUGUGUAAUGAUUGGAGUGUGUGUGUGUGUGUGUGUGUGUGUGUGUGUGUGUGUGUGUGUGUGUGUGUGUGUGUGUGUGUGUGUGUGUGUAAAACUAGUUCUUCAGGGACACCUGAUUGGCGGAAUCAGCCUUUGUUUUUUUCAGCGUUAAUAUUUGCAGAUAGAUUGUGGCUUAUAUCAAUGUAACUGUCUGCAUCAUUUCCAAUCCACAAUACAUAUAUAUUUUUUUAAAUGUAUUAUUUUACGCUAACCAUACCACUGCUCCCCUAAUUGGCGUUUGUUUGCAGACAGAGCUGGACAGAGAAGAUUCCUCCAGUGUUCAACAGGAACAAUACAGUAGCUAGCUGUCAAGGAGAUCCAUGCGAGUACUGUUACAUAGAAAGUAAGAGAGAGAGAGCGAGAAGGAGAGAGCGAGAGAGAGAGAGAAAGAAGAAGAGAAAGAGAGAAGGAGAGAGAAAGAGAGAGAACAAGCGAAAAUGAGGUCAAAAGAGAAAAGGACACAAGAAAUUAGAGCGAUGGGCUACACUAAUCCACUAAAACAUUCGAACCAAAGAGAAGUGAGUAGCGCUGAGGGGGAGCUGACCGGUGACUGUCCUAAAUCCCUAAUGUGACUUGUAUAGUGUCCAGAACUAACCAGGGGCUAACUUAACUUCUACCCUACUGUGGAAAUGGAUAGUAUGAUACGUAGCUAACAUAAGGUAGAUAUCUAGCUAAUGUAAUCCAGCUACUGUACCUUUGGGCAAGUAUCAGAGUCAAAAUUAAACUCAACUUUAUUUCUGGAUAAAAUAACAUUCAAUGUACUGUCGCUAUUAUAGCGUAGCUAGAGCAUCCUAAUGUAGCUAGCAAUGUAGGUAGUCAAGAUUCAGAUGGCAAGGCUUUCACUACUAGCAUUAUUACCAUUUGCCAGCCUCAGAAUCUUCUAGUACCAUUAGAAUGAGGACUAGCAUUAGCCAGCCUACUGUCCUGACCUACAGUACAGUAGUGUUUGUUAAAGGACACGGGGCAGUCAGUCAGUGUCCUCCUGCACCUGCAGACUCUCCAGAGAGGCUCUGACAGAGCAUAGUACAGCACUCAGCCAUCACAACACACCUGCAGACUCUCCAGAGAGGCUCUGACAGAGCAUAGUACAGCACUCAGCCAUCACAACACACCUGUAGCUCCUGCUGUUACUGACCUCAUCUUAAAGUGUGUGCAUGUGCUCCCGCAUGCAUUGACAUGGAACAUGACGUCAUACUUCAUGUGGAUGUUUAAGUGUGUUUGGGCUGUGUUAUUAGUUGCACAGACAUGGAGGAGAGCAGUAUAGAGAGAGAGAGAGAGAGAAAGAGGGAAAAAGAGAGCGCAAUAGAAUAUUAUUCAACCCUUGGUGACAAGGUGCUAUGUGCUUUCGUUGACCCCUCUUUCCCCUUCUAUGAGACCAGUUCCUCCACAAAGACUAACACAUACACAGGUACUGAGAAUUAUGGAUAAGAUACGCCUGUAUUAUGGUCUGAUACCAGUAGUUCUCUUCUCGAUGCAAUUUCACCCCUUAGAAUCAUAGACACCAUGUUAAUCAUUCUUACAUCAUCUCUCUCACACACACACACACACCUCUGGAACAGUGUAUUCUGCAUCAGGACUCUGUACGGGUGUGUGUGUUGUGUAUGUACAGUUGAAGUCGGAAGUUUACAUACAGUUAGGUUGGAGUCAUUAAAACUCGUUUUUCAACCACUCCACAAAUUUCUUGUUAACAAACUAAAGUUUUGGCAAGUCGGUUAGGAUAUAUACUUUGUGCACGACACAAUUUUUCCAACAAUUGUUUACAGACAGAUUAUUUCACUUAUAAUUCACUGUAUCACAAUUCCAGUGGGUCAGAAGUUGACUGUGCCUUUAAACAGCUUGGAAAAUUCCAGAAAAUUAUGUCAUGGCUUUAGAGGCUUCUGACUGACAUCAUUUGAGUCAAUUAGAGGUGUACCUGUGGAUGCAUUUCAAGGCCUACCUUCAAACUCAGUGCCUCUUUGCUUAACAUCAUGGGAAAAUCAAAAGAAAUUAGCCAAGACCUCAGAAAAGAAAUUGUAGACCUCCACAAUUCUGGUUCAUCCUUGGGAGCAAUUUACAAAUGCCUGAAGGUACCACGUUAAUCUGUACAAACAAUAGCACGAUAGUAUAAACACCAUGGGACCUCACAGCUGUCAUACCGCUCAGGAAGGAGAUGCAUUCUGUCUCCUAGAGAUGAACGUACUUUGGUGUGAAAAGUGCAAAUCAAUCCCAGAACAACAGCAAAGGACCUUGUGAAGAUGCUGGAAGAAACAGGUACAGAAGUAUCUAUAUCCACAGUAAAACGAGUCCUAUAUCGACAUAACCUGAAAGGCUGCUCAGGAAGAAGCCACUGCUCCAAAACCGCCAUAAAAAGGCCAGACUACAGUUUGCAACUGCACAUGGGGACAAAGAUCGUACGUUUUGGAGAAAUGUCCUCCGGUCUGAUGAAACAAAAAUAGAACUGCUUGGCCAUAAUGACCAUGGUUAUGUUUGGAGGAAAAAGGGGGAGGCUUGCAAGCCAAAGAACACCCUCCCAACCGUGAAGCAUGGGGGUGGCAGCAUCAUGUUGUGGGGGUGCUUUGCUGCAGGAGGGACUGGUGCACUUCACAAAAUAGAUGUCAUCAUGAGGCUGGAAAAUUAUAUUGAAGCAACAUCUCAAGACAUCAGUCAGGAAGUUACAGCUUGUUUGAAAAUGGGUGUUCCAAAUGGACAAUGACUCCAACAAACUUCCACAGUUGUGGCAAAAUGGCUUAAGGACAACAAAGUCAAGGUAUUGGAGUGGCCAUCACAAAGCCCUGAUCUCAAUCCCAUAGAAGAUGUGUGGGCAGAACUGAAAAAGUGUGUGCGAGCAAGGAGGCAUAUUAACCUGAUUCAGUUACACCAGCUCUGUCAGGAGGAAUGGUCCAAAAUUCACCCAACUUAUUGUGGAAAGCAAGGUGGAAGGCUAGCCAACACAUUUGACCCAAGUUAAACAAUUUAAAGGCAAUGCUACCAAAUACUAAUUGAGUGUAUGUAAACCUCUGACCCACUGGGAAUGUGAUGAAAGAAAUAAAAGGUGAAAUAAAUAAUUCUCUAUUAUUAUUCUGACAUUUCACAUUCUUAAAAUAAAGUGGUGAUACUAACUGACCUAAAACAGGGAUUUUUUACUAGGAUUAAAUGUCAGGAAUUGUGAUAAAUUGAGUCUAAAUUUAUUUGGCUAUGGUGUAUGUAAACUUCCGACUUCAACUGUGUGUGUGUGUGUGUGUGUGUGUGUGUGUGUGUGUGUGUGUGUGUGUGUGUGUGUGUGUGUGUGUGUGUGUGUGUGUGUGUGUGUGUGUGUGUGUGUGCGUGUGAAGUGAGUCCCUCUGUGGUCUCUUAAUAUCAUUAUUACUCACAGUGAUGUCCUGUACUAUGCGGAAACACACACACACACUUUAUACAACACACAUACACUUUAUCCAACAGACACUUUAUACAAUAGACACACUUUCAUAUUUCACCCCCUCCAGGUUUCCUCCACUUGGGGAGUGCAUGGUUGACUGGGUGAGGAGGGGAGUCAGUGACCACUCAUCGGAACAACGGCCCUCUGACGUCAAACACUGCUGGACGACCGGUGAAACAACGGCCCUCUGACGUCAAACACUGCUGGACGACCGGUGAAAAGGGCAAGUCAUCAAAAGUUGUGUGCGUGUGUGUGUGUGUGUGUGUGUGUGUGUGUGUGUGUGUGUGUGUGUGUGUGUUUAAGGAGGGAAUUAUAUACACAUUAUAUGUUAAAUAAAUUAUAAACACACUGCUGUUCUGUGAUCUCCCAUAAAAAAAAUCACUGCAACACACCGA